GACGAACGCUGGCGGCGUGCUUAACACAUGCAAGUCGAACGGAAAGGCCCUGCUUGCAGGGUACUCGAGUGGCGAACGGGUGAGUAACACGUGGGUGAUCUGCCCUGCACUUCGGGAUAAGCUCGGGAAACUGGGUCUAAUACCGGAUAGGACCGCACUUUAGUGUGUGUGGUGGAAAGUUUUUUCGGUGUAGGAUGAGCUCGCGGCCUAUCAGCUUGUUGGUGGGGUAAUGGCCUACCAAGGCGGCGACGGGUAGCCGGCCUGAGAGGGUGUACGGCCACAUUGGGACUGAGAUACGGCCCAGACUCCUACGGGAGGCAGCAGUGGGGAAUAUUGCACAAUGGGCGCAAGCCUGAUGCAGCGACGCCGCGUGGGGGAUGAAGGCCUUCGGGUUGUAAACUCCUUUCGCUAGGGACGAAGCUUUGUUGUGACGGUACCUAGAUAAGAAGCACCGGCUAACUACGUG
rnacentral:rRNA from 1 species